CUCCAAUGCCUCAGCUGUCCUCCCUUGCUUGGGGCAAAGAGACGACACAUGAUGGGUCUACAGCAGCUUUACUCUAAUGCAGUAAUAAGAAGAGGGAUUUGGUAUGAUGACUAAACUACUGCAGAUUUGAAAGACAACCAAUCACCGACUCUUUAGGCUGACAACGCCCAACUUAUCCCUGCUAGAUGGCAGAAGAUCCGAACAUGGAUGUCUAAAAGGAAUUGGGAGUGAGGAAAUAUUUGGCGAAUUACCAAAGUUUUGAGGAAUGUUUUGGUGUUAUGAAUCAGUCAAGAAACAUAAGACCUUUAAAACCCUUGGAAAGAAAACA